UCGGAGGCUGAUGGCUUUCCUCAUUGCACAAGUGAUUCAAUGUUCAUAGCAUAUGAAAAAUGUUCGUAUAUAAAAUAAAUUAAAUUAUCAUAAAAGCAUGAAAGAUUUGUAUUAAAUUUAGAAAAGCCGCCAAGAAGGAAAAAAAAAAAAGUUAUUUGUUUUUUGUAAGAAAUUAAAUAGAAAAUGUAAAGUGUCUUUGACAAAAGAUAUUUGGUUCGAUUCGAC
rnacentral:lncRNA from 1 species